rnacentral:rRNA from 1 species
CAAGUCGAGCGGCAGCGCGGGGGCAACCCUGGCGGCGAGCGGCGAACGGGUGAGUAACACAUCGGAACGUAUCCCGUAGUGGGGGAUAACCCGGCGAAAGCCGGGCUAAUACCGCAUAUGCUCUACGGAGGAAAGUGGGGGACUUCGCAAGGGGCCUCACGCUAUGGGAGCGGCCGAUGUCCGAUUAGCUAGUUGGUGGGGUAAAGGCCUACCAAGGCGACGAUCGGUAGCUGGUCUGAGAGGAUGAUCAGCCACACUGGGACUGAGACACGGCCCAGACUCCUACGGGAGGCAGCAGUGGGGAAUUUUGGACAAUGGGGGCAACCCUGAUCCAGCCAUGCCGCGUGCGGGAAGAAGGCCUUCGGGUUGUAAACCGCUUUUAGUCGGGAAGAAAGGGUUCUCCUGAAUACGGAGGAUUUUUGACGGUACCGGCGGAAUAAGCACCGGCUAACUACGUGCCAGCAGCCGCGGUAAUACGUAGGGUGCGAGCGUUAAUCGGAAUUACUGGGCGUAAAGCGUGCGCAGGCGGUUCUCCAAGUCCGUUGUGAAAGCCCCGGGCUCAACCUGGGAAUGGCAGUGGAAACUAGGGGACUGGAAUCUGGCAGAGGGGGGUGGAAUGCCGCGUGUAGCAGUGAAAUGCGUAGAGAUGCGGCGGAACACCGAUGGCGAAAGGCAGCCCCCUGGGCUGAGAUUGACGCUCAGGC